rnacentral:lncRNA from 1 species
AUGGCCGUGGACAGUUUCGGUUCUCGUGUUUUCGGAUCCGAUUAUACUUGUGUUUUCGCGUCGUGUGAAACCGUGAUUCAGUUGGUGUUUUGUGUGUUCCGUUUCUCAUCUAGUGGGACGAGUUUCUGGAAUUGUGUCGAUGAUUAUUCUGGAUUAUUCUGCCCAAUUAAGCUAUCUUCGUCAGGUUGUUUCAGUGACAGUGUUGUGAGUGCUUUCAGCCUGGCGUCGGGCAAUUGGAUAACCUACUGCUGAAUCUACUGCAUUGAGUUGCGUACUGCUGUUCUGAUCGGUAUGUAAUUUUAUUUUAAUUGUAGCUUUCUGAAUAGAUUAAGCUCGCAAUGGUUAAUUUAGUGCCGAAGUAAGGCGCUUUUAGUUGGAUCGGAAAGAGACUUCGACGGCGAGAGUAAAAAUCGUCGCUCCUCUGACGUAAAGGCGUAUCUAGAUUUCCGCAUGAGCCUCAGAACGCAUGGACUUAAAUGCAGAACAGGGCUCACGUGCAAAUUGAGAUACGCCCUCACGUCAGAAGGACAAUGGCGAAAUGACUAUAAUAAGUGGCCUUUUUGCUUUUUAUUAUUUCAAUUCAACGGUUGUAAACUCUAUUUUGCCAUUUUUAUAUCGUUUUUCAUGCGAUGAAUACUUCCAUUUUUUUAGCGCGUUUAAGUAGAGAGAGAGAAGUAAAUAAUCUUUCCAAGCUACCGCGUCACUUGCUAAUUCGCCCACUUCAGUGGAGAGGCGUGAUAAUCGACUAUCGAUAUCAUCCCAUUUUAAGCUACGGUAAAGAAUCGAUUAUAAUCGAGU